UCGCGGGGUGGAGCAGUCUGGUAGCUCGUCGGGCUCAUAACCCGAAGGUCGCAGGUUCAAAUCCUGUCCCCGCAAUC
rnacentral:tRNA from 8 species